ensembl:lncRNA
GGCAGAUUCGCUUUUACUUCACUGCUCUUGUUCCUUUGACAUAUACUGUUUGAUCUGGAAUACCAACUACUUGUGUGAGAUACUGUACAGUACUGGAGACAUAUAACCAUCUAUGUAACUUAUUCUAUUUGAAGAAACAUUCAGGGGCAUUUUUGCAACUGUUCAGACAUUUGGGCCCUGCAGGCCUCCAGAAGGAAAUGACCCAUGCUGGAGGGAGUUACCACUGCACAUCUGCAUUUCCUCCAAAUUGUUUCUAAAGAUGGCACACCUGAGCCCUUGUGAACAUUCACUUUACAUCCGAUGGUCCUGCUGAGUGGGCCAGGCAUACACUUGAUUUCCAUCAGGAGAUGUCCUCGGUAACAGCAGGAGAGGGGUGCAACUCUUGCUUCACAAAAGCCAUGGAAUUGAGAGCUUUUCAUUUUGUCGCCUGCCAUCAUCUAAAGCGGGCCAGACAGCUGUGAAUGAGAGAACGCCUUCCGGCCACCUUCUUCACCCAUUAUAAUCUUAUAUGACAGAGCCUUGGGACUAUUCUGGAACUGGCUGGACCCCCAGAGCACCAAACAGAGACACAAACAGAAUGGCAGAAAUAGAGAGCGAUGCCUGCUGAGACCUCUUCUUCCAUGAAGCCUUGUCCUUCUUUUCUUUAGCUGCAUGUUUGACACUCUAAUAUUUCUUUAGCUGUAUUGACAUGUUAUUAUGCAGAGGUCCUCAGUUAAGGGUCACUGAAGGUCUUACAAGGUAUCAUCGACAGCUGCUGGACUCAAAUGUCACUUUGUGCUCUUAGAUUAACCUUUGGUGGAUUGGACCAUGAGGUGCCCUCAGAAAUGUAAGCAGAAUUUCCCAUAGGCUUGUGGGAUUGGGAUGGUAGAAUGAACACAUUUGUUUGACUAAAA